ACGCUGGCGGCGUGCUUAACACAUGCAAGUCGAACGAUGAAGCCUAGCUUGCUAGGUGGAUUAGUGGCGAACGGGUGAGUAAUACGUGAGUAACCUACCUUUAACUCUGGGAUAAGCCUGGGAAACUGGGUCUAAUACCGGAUACGACCAAUCUCCGCAUGGGGUGUUGGUGGAAAGCGUUAUGUAGUGGUUAUAGAUGGGCUCACGGCCUAUCAGCUUGUUGGUGAGGUAACGGCUCACCAAGGCGACGACGGGUAGCCGGCCUGAGAGGGUGACCGGCCACACUGGGACUGAGACACGGCCCAGACUCCUACGGGAGGCAGCAGUGGGGAAUAUUGCACAAUGGGCGCAAGCCUGAUGCAGCGACGCCGCGUGAGGGAUGACGGCCUUCGGGUUGUAAACCUCUGUUAGCAGGGAAGAAGAGAAAUUGACGGUACCUGCAGAGAAAGCGCCGGCUAACUACGUGCCAGCAGCCGCGGUAAUACGUAGGGCGCGAGCGUUGUCCGGAAUUAUUGGGCGUAAAGAGCUUGUAGGCGGUUUGUCGCGUCUGCUGCGAAAGGCCGGGGCUUAACCCCGUGUAUUGCAGUGGGUACGGGCAGACUAGAGUGCAGUAGGGGAGACUGGAACUCCUGGUGUAGCGGUGGAAUGCGCAGAUAUCAGGAAGAACACCGAUGGCGAAGGCAGGUCUCUGGGCUGUAACUGACGCUGAGAAGCGAAAGCAUGGGGAGCGAACAGGAUUAGAUACCCUGGUAGUCCAUGCCGUAAACGUUGGGCACUAGGUGUGGGGGACAUUCCACGUUUUCCGCGCCGUAGCUAACGCAUUAAGUGCCCCGCCUGGGGAGUACGGCCGCAAGGCUAAAACUCAAAGAAAUUGACGGGGGCCCGCACAAGCGGCGGAGCAUGCGGAUUAAUUCGAUGCAACGCGAAGAA
rnacentral:rRNA from 1 species